ACAAAUACUAAUUGUAUUGCUUAAUUAAUUUUUCAGGUGUUCUGUUGUAGAUUGGUCACUGAUAAAAAAUAGUAUACAUUUUUCUGAAUAAUAGUUUUUUUUAUUUUAACAUCUCAAGACCGCAAUUGGAUUUCAUCUAUUGCGCGAAUUAUGACUGAAUUUUUUGAAACAAAAGAAUGAAUGAAUUUUGUUAGCUGUGGCUUUAUUAUUCUUCAUUGAUUGGUUCAAAAUGUUCUGUAUUAUCAAAAUAAUUUUAUUCCGUGAACAAUAAUGUAUUUUUUUUGGUUGUUUGCGGAAUUUCAGUUUUAAUCAUUAUGUAUGUUUUUUUUUUUAUUAUUAUUAAUAAUAUUUAAAUAAAUAUAUAUAUCCAAAGUCUUUUAAAUAAUUAAUUUAAUUACUGUCAUUUAUUGUAAUUUUAAAAAUAGAUCAUUUUUAAAAACCUACAUAAUGAUUCAACUGAUGUGCGCGGCGCUUGCAUAUUUUUAUUUUCGCGCGGAAAGAAAUUAAAUGUUUACUUUAAAAAAAUUAAGUUAUGAAAUUUCAUAUAAAUUUAAUUCAUAAUUUUAAAUUUUUUACCUUCCAAUAUUUAAACGAUACAUUUUUUUAAUUUAAGCAUUUGAUUUUUUUCAUUGUAUUCUGUGAAUUUAGAUAAGCACUAGUUUGCAAUAUUUAAUCUGUAUUUGUUUCAUUUAUAAUUUCUACGCAAUUAAUUAAUUUUGCAUCAUGGCCGGUUUAUGAUGUAAUCACAUAUAGUUAAAUAAAAAAUUUAAAAUUUCUUACAUUAGAGAUAAACAACAGAUUAAGUAUUGAAAUCUAUGUGUUUUUUGUGAUGAAUAUCCAAUAGCUGUCUUUUAAUUUUUCUAGAGUAAAUUUUACUCUGGCGUUUAACCUAACUAAAUACAUUUCUAUUUACAUUUUAUCUAUUGUAAAGCAAUACAAAUUAUUUUUAUUUAUUUUUGUGUAUAUUCCCUUUAUAAUCAAUUUAAUAAUUAUUGAUAAUUUUCCAUUUUCUUAAGAUCAUAAUUAAGUAUUUAUUAAAAAUAAUCAAAAAUCUACAAUAAUCUUAGUAAUCUGAUCAUGCUGCAUUCAAUAUAUUCAGUAAGCUAUUUUGCUUAUUUUUAUUUGUUUUUCAUUACUUCAUAAAAAAUUGAUCAAAUUAUUUCACAAUUUCAGUAUAAUGGCCUUAAUAUAUUUUUGUAUUUUAAUUUUAAUUUAUGCGUGUAUGUUAUAUAAUAUUGUAAUGUAUACAAUUAUUAAAUAGCCAUUUAAUAAUAUGUAACCCAUAAUGAAUACAUUAGAUAAGAAAAUAAAUUAUUAAAUUAUUAGGAAAAUAAUUUGAUAAUAAACAAAUAUUAAAGAUAUGUGUUAUUACUUAAAGAUAUAAUACAUGUAAUUAUUGAAAUAUUAAGUAUGUUAUAUUUUUCAUUUUUUUUGGUAAUAAUUUCAAGUAUUCAACCAAUUUUAUGUAUAUUAUAUUACUGAGAUUAUUGUAGUUAUUUUUUAUACAAGGAACAUUUCUGAACACACAGCAUCUAUAUAUUAUUAGUAUUUUUAGUCUUUACAAUAGAUAGACAUAUCAAUAACUUUGAUUCAUCUAGUUGAUGAGAUUUCGUUAAAAGUUUUCAUUGCGCCAAUCUACAACAAAAAGUUAUCAAUAUACCCUUCAUUGUUUUUCAUCUUUCAUUUACUCUCCUGCAAUUUCUAUUAAUUUUUAUCCAAACUGUUCUCCUGGUUUCAAAAAGUGAUGGACAACCCUGCCUUCCCUAUUAUUGAUGGUACCAUCCAUCAAUUUAUCUAGGUCCAUGAUACGAAAAUGUUGUGUAUUUAGUUGAUGAGGAUGUACGGCGAGUGUGUUCCUAUUUCCUGAAUAGCUACCACCUCAUACAUUAAUAGGUACAAAGUAAUUCACACCUCUUAAAAUCAAAUUUUGUAAACGGGAAAUUACACCAAAAGUACUAAAUUUAUUGGUAACCACUCGCCUCACACUCUCGUAACAAUGUUCAUGUCAACGGUGUCAAUGCCGGUUUUACAAAAAGGGCCAAAAAUUUAUUUUAUUUUUGUUCUAAUAUCAUAAUUCUCCAUUACUUCUUUGAGAAAAUUAUGAUAUUUAAAAAUGUUUUGAUGAGUAUACUAUUAGUGUACUUAAUAAUAAGUUGUCAAUAGUCAUGAUUUUCUCCAAUUGAAGUAGGCAAAUGUAUUAGAUGUUAGGAUUUUUUUUUUCUUAACAAGUGCAUUUUUUGUUUUUGUUUAUAGGAAUGUGUCAAGGAAUGCGAAGUUAAUGACGAAGCAUGCGCGCUAGUGUACAUUUUCUCUCCUAACACUUCUAUUGUGUUAAAAUAUAAAAUAUAAAGUAUGGCUUAAGCGCGUUUAGGUCCCUUUAUAAGCAUAUUACGAUUUCAAAAA